AUGUCACCAGACCCCAGAGAGUUUUCAAAGAUGAAGAUUGCACUGGAGAAUAUCCUCCCAAGGGACGCCACCGAGCGAUUCAAGUUCCAAAUCCUCACAGAUCACCUCAGGUGUGAAGAGGCCUCACUUGUGGCAGACUCAUACAGCAACUCCAGGCAACCUUACACAGACACGAUGAUGGCCCUCACCAAGAUGUAUGGGCAGCCACACAAGCUAGCUGUACAACGCAUCACAGAGUUGAUGGAUGGUCCAGAUGUCCGUAGCGGUGAUGUGAAAGCCUUUCGUCUGUUUGCUCUUCGUGUACGCUCUCUGGUUGGCAUGCUGGAGCAGCUGGGGUCAAGAGGUCACAUGGAGCUGCAGUGUGGAUCUCAUGUAUCCAGGCUACUCGGUAAACUACCCCAUGACCUCACCGCCAGCUUCAAGAGAUUCAUCCAUCCCAUGAGAGUAGCUAUCCCCACACUCACUGACUUGGCUGAAUGGUUGGAAUAUGAGCUGGAGGUGCAAGAGGACAGUGGGAGGAGUGCCAGCUUUAGAAGAGAGGAGUCCUCUACCAGAAAGAAAGAGAACCGGAGAGACUCCAAGCCCACCAGUAACCCCACGACAAUUCUCCUAGGCACAGGUAAGGCAGCAGAGCCAAGCACUCCUACGCCUCCAUCAGCAUCCACCCCGCCAGUCCACAACUUCAGCAAGAAGGAGAGAGGGACAGCUUACUGUCCAUAUUGUGAUAACAGCAACCACUAUCUGAACAACUGCACAAAUUUCAAGCAGCUGAACAGAGAGCAGAAGGAGGUGUGGAUCAGAAGCAACAACAAGUGCUGGCGUUGUGGUCGUGGCCACCAGGCAGCUAAGUGCACCCUGAAAGCCCCCUGCAAGACAUGCAAUAGGAAACACCUGCUUGUGCUACAUGAGGUGAAUGAGAGAGCAGAGGUUGAAGCACCAGAGACGGCCAAAGCUGAGAACUGUCUUGUGAACACCGCCAGCAGAGUUUUGUAUGUUGACCGCCCCACCUACAACUGUAAGGUGCUCCUAAAGAUCAGCAAGAUUACCAUAAGGAGGGGCAACCGGUCAUUGGAGGCGUAUGCUAUUCUUGAUGAUGGAUCAGAGCGAACCAUCCUUCUUCAUGCUGCAGCCAAGAAACUAGGUCUGAAGGGCAAGCCAGAAGAACUAGCCCUGCGCACGGUCAGACAGGAGGUGCAGGUGCUUCACGGGGAGGCUGUGUCCUUCACCAUAUCUCCAAUUGAUGAUCCCAAGAAGCAGUUUAGGAUCCAGAGGGCAUUCACCGCUAAACAGCUAGUAUUGGCAGAGCACACCCAUCCCACUGCUACACUGCAGAAGAAGUACAGACACUUAGCUGGGUUGCCUCUACCGACUCUAGAUAGAGUUCAUCCGGUAUUACUGAUCGGCUCUGACUACACUCACCUCAUCACACCAAUAGAGCCCGUUCGGUUGGGCCCUCGUGGUGGACCAGCCGCUGUGAGGACGCUCCUGGGAUGGACACUACAAGGCCCAGCACAAGACAUGAAGCUCAGCUUUAAUGGACCACAAUGUCUCUUCACCUCCACAUUGUCCCCGCUUGACCUCUUCUCUCAUGUGGAGAAACUGUGGCAGAUGGAUGUGCUUCCUUACCGCAGUGAGAAGCUGGCCACAAGAUCCCGCCAAGACCAGGAAGCUAUUCAUCUACUUCAGGAGCAGACCAUCAGAGUGAAUGUCAACGGCAUUGAGCGCUACGCCACACCCCUCCUGAGAGUUAAGAACAUGCCUCAGCUACACGCUCCACCCGAAGCUGUUUUGCCGCAGCUUAGGAGCAUCGAGAGGAGGUUAUUGAAAGACUCAGAGCAAGCCACCGCCUAUCAAGCAGAGAUCAAUAAACUGGUGGAUGCAGGCUAUGUUGUGAAGGUGGAGCCAGAUCAGGUGGACACCACAGAAGAGUCCUGGUAUAUACCACACCAUAUAGUCCAACACAAUGGGAAGAACCGUGUGGUGUAUAACUGCUCCUUCCAGUAUCAAGGACACAAUCUGAAUGAGCUCCUUCUGCCAGGUCCUCCCUUAGGCCCCUCAUUGCUUGCCGUGCUGCUCCGCUUCCGAGAGCAUGCCCUCGCCUUUAGCAGUGACAUCCGAGGGAUGUUCCACCAAGUGCGGCUGCUCCAGACCGACAGAACACUGCUGAGGUUUCUGUGGAGGGACCUGAGGCCAGAAAGCCUGCCAAGUGUGUACGAGUGGCAAGUCCUCCCCUUCGGGACCACUUGCAGCCCCUGCUGUGCCACAUUUGCAUUGCAGAAGCACGUGCAGGACCACACUCAGUCAGAGGAGGACGUGCGGGUCAUCAUAGAGAAGUCAUUCUAUGUAGACAACUGUCUACACAGCUUAACUUCAAGAGAAGCUGCUAGAGCUAUGGUCGGCCAGAUGUCCAGGAGCCAGCCCUCGGAUUACACUGGCACUGCCAGUCAGAUACACUGUCCUAUAAGCAUCGCAUGGUGGAUUGCUCAGUGGCCACGAUGA
rnacentral:lncRNA from 1 species